rnacentral:rRNA from 1 species
GACGAACGCUGGCGGCGUGCUUAACACAUGCAAGUCGUACGGUAAGGCCCUUUCGGGGGUACACGAGUGGCGAACGGGUGAGUAACACGUGAGUAACCUGCCCACAACUUUGGGAUAACGCUAGGAAACUGGUGCUAAUACUGGAUAUGUGCUCCUGCUGCAUGGUGGGGGGUGGAAAGCUCCGGCGGUUGUGGAUGGACUCGCGGCCUAUCAGCUUGUUGGUGGGGUAGUGGCCUACCAAGGCGGCGACGGGUAGCCGGCCUGAGAGGGUGACCGGCCACAUUGGGACUGAGAUACGGCCCCGACUCCUACGGGAGGCAGCAGUGGGGAAUAUUGCACAAUGGGCGCAAGCCUGAUGCAGCAACGCCGCGUGCGGGAUGACGGCCUUCGGGUUGUAAACCGCUUUCAGCAGGGACGAAGCUUUUUGUGACGGUACCUGCAGAAGAAGCACCGGCUAACUACGUG